ACUGAACCACCCAGUAAAGUGAGAAGAGCAGCUGUCAUAGUUAUCCUGGAGCAGGCCCAGCACCCAGCCCCAGAGGAUCAUCAGAGACUGACCCGGACACUCCGGGACACUGCUGCACCCAUCACAUCCGGCUGCUGCUGCUCGCAUGGCUUCGGGGUAUAGAAGGACUCAUAACUGGCCCCGUUCAGGGCUGUGGGUGAGACUGCAGUGCCUGCAGAACCCAAGGCCUCGGGAGACGCUGCAGAGCUCAGAUGGGGGACAGUCCCUCCUUUCUUCCCUCUCUUGCAGCCCCACAGCCCCAAAUCCCCCUCAGCCCCCUUCCUACCAUGUACCACAUCCGCAUUCACUGCUGUGCAGGAAUCCCCUUACUCCUUCCUCACAACACCCCAAUGGAAGGGCAGCUGUUAUCACCUCAUCUUAUGGAUGACAAAACUGAGACACAGAGUGGACUAGAAUUUUCCCACAUUUCCUGGCGGGCAGAGCUGGGACUCGAACUGAGGUCAGGCUGCUCCCAGAGCUCACGCUAACCUCCAAAGGCAUUCCUCCCCCAGGGAUUUUCAAUGAGGAGGGUGGAGGGGUGCCCCGGUCCUCAGCUGCAGGAGGAGGGCUUUUGUCUGGGCACAGACAAUCCCAGACAGACUCUUCAGCUCCAAGACAUGACGAUGGGGGUACUGGGAGGCUCUCCUGCAUCCAGCGUCCCCAUUUUACAAAUAAACAAACCGA
rnacentral:lncRNA from 1 species